rnacentral:rRNA from 1 species
CAGCCGCCGCGGUAAUACGGAGGGUGCAAGCGUUACUCGGAAUCACUGGGCGUAAAGGACGCGUAGGCGGAUUAUCAAGUCUCUUGUGAAAUCUAACGGCUUAACCGUUAAACUGCUCGGGAAACUGAUAAUCUAGAGUAAGGGAGAGGCAGAUGGAAUUCUUGGUGUAGGGGUAAAAUCCGUAGAUAUCAAGAAGAAUACCUAUUGCGAAGGCGAUCUGCUGGAACUUAACUGACGCUAAUGCGUGAAAGCGUGGGGAGCAAACAGGAUUAGAUACCCCGGUAGUCCCUGUCUCUUAUAA